rnacentral:rRNA from 1 species
AUGGAGACGGAGGGGGCGGCCCCCCCGCCCAAGAAUCCCCCCCGCCGCCCCCGGCGCCGCGACCUCAACGCACUGGAUCCAUAUUUAGAGGAAUCUGAUGGACAGGACAUUGGCAUUCCAGAAGUUGGCAUGGUGUUCAAUAACCACAUGGAGGUCAACCGAUUCUACCGUAGGUAUGCCCGUCGUGUUGGUUUUGGUGUCUCGGUUAGGAGGUCCUCGUUCUCACAAGAAGGCACCUGCUUAUAUCUCGAGCUGAUGUGCUGUAAAGGAGGGCGUCCACGUUAUGAGCCUAAGUUCAGGAAGCGGGCCUCAUCAACCACCAAUUGCCCAGCAAGGAUCCGUGUGAAGUUAUGGGGAGACAAAUUGUUGCAUGUAGAGUUGGCAAACCUUGAUCAUAAUCAUCCUGUGAGCCCAGCAAUGGCAAGGUUCUUGAACUCUUAUAAGCAGCUUUCUGGCCCUGCGAAGAGGCGGCUGCGUAUGGGUGGACCUGGAGCUAUGCCAGUUGAAGAGCCAAGCAAGAUGCCUGUUGAUAAGUUGGGUGCACUCGAGGAACUUCUGUUUGGAGAGAGCAAGAACCAUAAGUUUGUUGAGAGGGGCCGUUUGAAGCUCCAACCUGGAGAUUCAGAAGCACUUCGACUUUUCUUUACCCGAAUGCAGGCCAAAAAUGCAAACUUUUUCAAUGUUAUCGACUUGGAUGAUGAAGGCUGUGUCAGGAAUGUUUUUUGGGCGGAUGCAUGGUCAAGAGCCAUGUAUGAGUAUUAUAAUGACGCUAUCACCCUUGACACUUCCUAUGUGGUUAGUAAACAUGAUAUGCCUCUUGUGACCUUUCUUGGGGUGAACCAUCAUGGCCAAUCUGUCUUGUUGGGUUGUGGCCUGCUCUCUGAUGAAACAGCAGAAACCUAUACGUGGCUGUUUAAGGCGUGGGUAGCAUGCAUGUCUGGCAACCUUCCAAAGGCUAUCAUCACUGACCAAUGCAGGGGCAUCCAGAGUGCAGUUGCUGAGGUUGUUCCUGGAGUUCGCCAUAGAAUAUGCUUGCAUCAGAUAAUGAAAAAGGCGGCAGACCAAUUAAGUGGGCUAUCAGAGUACAAAGCUAUCAGCAAGGCAUUGCAAAAGGCUGCAUAUGAUUCUUUAACAGUAGAUGAGUUUGAAGGAGAAUGGAGUACUUUGAUCACAUACAAUGGGCUUCAGGGUCAUGACUGGUUAAGAUCACUUUAUGAGUGCAGAUUUUCAUGGGUUCCUAUCUUUCUUAAAGAUGCUUUUUGGGCAGGAAUGUCUGCUACACAAAGAAGUGAAACUAUCACUCCUUUCUUUGAAGGGUAUGUUGAUUUGAAAACCUCUUUGAAGCAAUUUCUUGGUAAGUAUGUGAUGAUUUUGCAGAGCAAAUACGAGAAAGAAGCCCAAGCAGAUUUUGAGACAUUUCAUAAGCAACGUCCACCUGUUUCAAAAUUCUAUAUGGAAGAACAGCUCUCAAAUGUAUACACCCAUAACAUGUUCAAGAAGUUCCAAGAUGAGAUUGAAGCCAUUAUGUACUGCCAUGUAUCUUUGAUGAAUGGUGAUGGGCCCAUCUCCACAUUUAAUGUCAAGGAAUGUAUUUUCCUUGAAGAUGGUAAAAGGACUAUGAGCAAGAUUUUUGCAGUUACUUAUAACACAGAGGAAAAGGAUAUAACUUGUAUAUGUGGAGGUUUCCAAUUUAGCGGCAUAUUAUGUAGGCAUAGUCUCUCCGUGCUCAAGUUCCAACAGGUUCGUGAAGUUCCUUCACAGUAUGUUCUUGAUAGGUGGAAAAAGGAUUUUAGACAGUUACAUGUGAUGGGACGACUUUCAAGUGAUGUUGUUCCCGACAAUCGUGUGGAUAGAUAUGACUAUUUGUCGAUGAGAUGCCUGCAGCUUGUUGACUCUGCAGUCCUGUCAGAUAAGUAUCGCCUUGCUUUGAGGCUGGUGAGAGAGGUUGAGAAGUUCCUAUUAAAUAGCAAUACACAUGAUGAUACACAGCCAAGGAUCAAGUCUCGCAUUCCUAAAGUAAAACCAAAUACAGUGACUGGUCAAAAUUUGGUGAAUGUCGUUACUGACAAUGGGAAUGGUGGGCCCAAAGGACCAGAGGCUUCUGCAUCGGCGCAGGCAUCACAAAUCCAGAAGGGAGUAGCAGAAAAGGCUGUAGUUCCUGCUGGUUACAUUGGUGUGCCAGCUAACGUCCAGCAAUUCAUGGGCAAUCAAGCUGCAAUGCGCCCAAGUAUUGUUUACAUGGUUCCGAGUGGCGUUGACCCGCAGGCAUUUGGAAAUGGUGUUUUGAUGCCAGUGAUGUACCAGCAGAUGUUCCAGAUACCUCAGCAGCCAAAUGGAGCCGCGCAAGACACAUUAGCAAACGGUAAAAGGAAGCGACCCCGUGCCCAGAAGCCAACAGAGACAUCUCAUCAGUCAAAUGGAACCUCAGGACCUGCAGCUGGCUAA